AAAAGCCCGCAGAUUUUCCAAGGUAAACAAACCACACGUGCGUCUAGCGUGGAAGACGAAUGGCAACUUUCAAAACGAAUCAACGUUUGCUACGCAUUGCGAAAAGUUAGUAACAUGCUGCUCAUGUUUCAAACUAAGACCAUGGCCGUUUAUUUUGUUUACGACACCAUUUCUCCGCCAAGAUUUUCCGAGAAAAUCGAGCAAAUUUCACAUAGGAUGAUUAGUUGUGGACAUUGCAUCUGUGUUUGUGCAGUUUUUAACAACUUGCCAAAAGGCCCUUAGGCGUUGUAUGCAAGCAGCUUGCGAUAGUUGAGUGGCUCCAAAAGUGAAUCCGAAAUGACGUCUUGAACAGCAGAAACACGGCUUUCCUUCACAUUUAACCCGCCAUCUGUUUGCCUCGCAUAGUAACAAGCAUAUCGGAAUUGCAUUAAAUUAAAAACUUAAUCGUCUUUCGAGUAGACUACAAGCCCCAGAGCACUUGUCUUCGUUUAAAA